UAAAUUUUGUACUUUUACCACUGUUAGGUUUUGUUCUGCUGCAUAUCUAUUCACAGGAUGUGCUUUGAUGGGGUUUAGAUCACGUGGAGCCCUCUGAGCAGUCUGUCCUGUUGAUCCUGGUGCCUGUGAUGACCCUUCCCCUUGGCUAAAUCUCCGCAGUCCUCUAUUGAUCUGCAGGAGAGGUUGAAUGAGGGCUGUGGGUGACCCCUGUGCUGACUGCCAGGAACCGGACAGCAGAAACUGAGGCCAGCGGCACAGGAAUUCCAGCACUGGGGGGUCAUCCUUGAGCAACAGGCCGUACAGCAGCACCCACUGGACCACCAG